AUACUCUGGUUUCUCUUCAGAUCGUAUAAAUCUUUUGCCUUUUACUAAAGAUUUCCUAUGAAAUGUGCAACACGGGUGCUGAUAUAUACCUUGAUCCUGCAAAAUCUUCCUCA